rnacentral:lncRNA from 1 species
ACAACCCUCGGGGUUAAAGAGCCUCCUCGAGGAAGAGGCUGGGACACAGCUGAAAGAGAUUGACCCACAACCACUCUAGGGGCCAUCACCUGCCCUUCUUCAGUCCUGGGCGUGAAGGUAGAUUUCUCCCCUAGCCUGUGCGGGAGAGGAGCCCUGGUUUUUCUAACAAGGACUACUGUAGGUUCGCCGAGUUCGAGGGACGCUACGUAUGCAGCGCCUACGCCCGGACACAGGCUUCCGCGUUACCGACACCGCGUGGGGGAGGAGGGCAAGACCCGAGGCUUGCAGAGAUGGGGGGUGCACGGUGGCCACAGUAGGGAAGGUGCGGAGCAUGAUGGUGCUCUGUAGGAGCGCAGACGCUGAAAGGCGCGCUGCUGUGGCUGGGAGAAGAGCGGAGCCAGGAGUUUGUUCCCAAUAUCUUAGUGCUAUGGCAAAAGAAGGGGGAGGAGUAAUUGUGGGGCCCCCCACACACCCGCUGCGGCGAUACACUCACCCUCGCCAAAGUCCUUCCGGAAGUCUAAGUUCGAAGAUGGCGCCGCCUGUCUGGUCGCGGUCUUAUGACGAAAUCUUGUUAGCUGCUCUUCACUGACGCCCCCACCCCAGUGCACAAGAGAUGGGGUCUCGUUAUGUUGACCAGGCUGGUCUUGAACACCUGACCUGAAGUGAUCCUCUUGCCUCAGCCUCCCAUAGUGCUGCGAUCACAGGUGUAAGUCACUGAGUUUGGCCAUUAUUCCAUUUCUGUACACAAAAACCUUUCUCAUUCUGUGCUAUAACUAGUUAGCAUUUAAUUGGGUGGAUGUGGUAUAACUAGUGCCUUGUUGAUAUUGAUGCAUAUUUACAUGGUUUUGCUGUUAUAAACAAUGGUCCCUUGCUAUUAUAAAUCACACUGCUAUAAGUAACCUUGCAUCUAAAUUACUUCAAAUGUGUAACUAUAUGGGUAGGAUAAUUUCUAGAAGUGGAAUUGUGAACCAAAGUUUUAGGUGCAUUUGUAAUUUUGAUUUAUAACCAAUCUUUUCACUGAUCUACUUCUCUGCCUCUAAUUUCUACUAGGUGUUUGUUUGUUUGUUUGUUUGUUUUGAGACAGGGUCUUGCUCUGUCACCCAGGCUGGAGGACAGUGGUGCAAUCACGGCUCACUGCAGCCUCAACCUGCCACCUCAGCCUCCUGAAUAGUUGGGGUGUGUGGCAGGUGUAUACCACCACUUCCAGGUUUUUUUGUUGUUGUUGUUUAAUAGAGAUGAGGUCUUGCUAUAUUGCCCAGGCAGGUCUCACACUACUGAGCGCAAGCGAUCCUCCUGCCUAUGCCUCCCAAAGUGCUGGGAUUACAGGUGUGAGUUGCCAUGCCUGGCCCGGUUAUCUUUCUAAAGCAUAAAGCAACCCUGUUGAUCCUCUGCUUAAUUUUGAUGAUUAAGUAGUAUGUUCAAAAUAUAGAAAUCCAUGUAUUGAUAAUGAUCUUUUAAAAAAAGUAAA